rnacentral:lncRNA from 1 species
AGCAAAUCAACAAAUAACAACAAUAAUGGUUCCAUUUCCGGCCAACUCCAUGAACUCCGGCGAGCUCGUGAGAAACCAGAGACAACCAGGCGAGUUACAAGCUCUGGCGAAACCGAACUCCAUCACUGCUAUCCUUCACAGACCCACGAACCAGUUACAACAUCAACAUAGCUCCACCAACGAGCUUCAUCUCCAUAUUUCCA